rnacentral:rRNA from 1 species
UACGGAGGAUGCGAGCGUUAUCCGGAUUUAUUGGGUUUAAAGGGUGCGUAGGCGGGAUGCCAAGUCAGCGGUAAAAAUGCGGUGCUCAACGCCGUCGAGCCGUUGAAACUGGCGUUCUUGAGUGGGCGAGAAGUUUGCGGAAUGCGUGGUGUAGCGGUGAAAUGCAUAGAUAUCACGCAGAACUCCGAUUGCGAAGGCAGCAUACCGGCGCCCUACUGACGCUGAGGCACGAAAGCGUGGGUAUCGAACAGG